rnacentral:rRNA from 1 species
GACGAACGCUGGCGGCGUGCUUAACACAUGCAAGUCGAACGGAAAGGCCCUGCUUGCAGGGUACUCGAGUGGCGAACGGGUGAGUAACACGUGGGUGAUCUGCCCUGCACUUCGGGAUAAGCCUGGGAAACUGGGUCUAAUACCGGAUAGGAGCCAUUUUUAGUGUGAUGGUUGUAAAGUUUUUUCGGUGUAGGAUGAGCUCGCGGCCUAUCAGCUUGUUGGUGGGGUAAUGGCCUACCAAGGCGGCGACGGGUAGCCGGCCUGAGAGGGUGGACGGCCACAUUGGGACUGAGAUACGGCCCAGACUCCUACGGGAGGCAGCAGUGGGGAAUAUUGCACAAUGGGCGCAAGCCUGAUGCAGCGACGCCGCGUGGGGGAUGACGGCCUUCGGGUUGUAAACUCCUUUCGCUAGGGACGAAGCUUUUUGUGACGGUACCUAGAGAAGAAGCACCGGCUAACUACGUG